rnacentral:rRNA from 1 species
UACGGAGGGUGCAAGCGUUGUCCGGAUUUACUGGGCGUAAAGAGCGCGCAGGCGGCUGGUCAAGUCCGAUGUGAAAUCUCCCGGCUCAACUGGGAAACUGCAUCGGAAACUGAUCGGCUUGAAGAUGGGAGAGGGUAGUGGAAUUCCCGGUGUAGUGGUGAAAUGCGUAGAUAUCGGGAGGAACACCAGUGGCGAAGGCGACUACCUGGCCCAUUCUUGACGCUGAGGCGCGAAAGCUAGGGGAGCGAACGGG